UGGCUCAGUGGUAGAGCACUUGCCUUGCAUGCAUGAAGCCCUAGGUUCAAUUCCUCAG
rnacentral:tRNA from 1 species